rnacentral:rRNA from 1 species
CCCUUAGAGUUUGAUCCUGGCUCAGAGCGAACGUUAGCGGCGGGCCUAACACAUGCAAGUCGAACGAGAAUGAGGGCUUCGGCCCUCUAGUAGAGUGGCGGACGGGUGCGUAACACGUGGGUAAUCUACCUUCCGGCGGGGGACAACAGUCCGAAAGGAUUGCUAAUACCGCGUACGUCAGCGAGGUCUACGGACCUUGUUGGGAAAGAUGGCCUCUCCUUGGAAGCUGUCACCGGAAGAUGAGCCCGCGGCCCAUCAGCUAGUUGGUGAGGUAAUGGCUCACCAAGGCUUAGACGGGUAGCUGGUCUGAGAGGAUGAUCAGCCACACUGGGACUGCGACACGGCCCAGACUCCUACGGGAGGCAGCAGUGGGGAAUAUUGGGCAAUGGGCGGAAGCCUGACCCAGCCACGCCGCGUGAAUGAUGAAGGCCUUCGGGUCGUAAAGCUCUGUGGGGAGGGACGAAUAAGUCGGCAGUUAACACCUGCCGGCCCUGACGGUACCUCCUUAGCAAGCACCGGCUAACCAUGUGCCAGCAGCCGCGGUAAUACAUGGGGUGCAAACGUUGCUCGGAAUUAUUGGGCGUAAAGC